AAACCACCAACAACAGAGGAAGUAGGUGGCAGAAGAGGUUUCAGGAAGUUUCUGCUCAAACUGGAGUUCAUGUUUGCAUUAACUGGUCUGACUUGUGUCCAGAACGACUCUGAGUGUUUUGACCUGAGGCGGGAACCUGAUCAGACGGCUGGCUGGCUCUGCAGAGAGAGUGAAGAUACAGCUCCUCCAGAGAACAGAGAUGUUUUCACUUGCAACAAAGGAGGUCGUGAAAUGUAUAGACUCCCAAAGGGACCCAGACCUCAUCAACAACGUCAAGCAGCAUGAGAAGUAUGAGAUGUUGACUCUGUUCAAGGGCAGACAGCAG